AUGGAUCACCAAGGUUGUAUAACAGAAAUUGAGCUGGAAAACAUGUUGUUCGAUGAAGAUUUAGAGCCCAUCGCCCUGCCAUACUCACUUUUGAAGAAAAUCACAGAUGAUUUUUCUGAUAAGUUGGAAGUUGGAAGAGGUGGCUUCGCGGUGGUUUAUAAGGCAAUACUUGAUAAUGGUGUUGUUGCCGUAAAGAGACUGUCCAAUACGUACAUGUACGAGGAAAAAUUUCAAGGAGAGAUUGAGUGUCUCAUGAAGGCGAAGCACAAGAAUAUUGUACGAUUUCUAGGAUAUUGUUCUGACACACAAGGAAAUAUGGAAAGCUACAAUGGGAAAUGGGUUAUGGCAGAUGUACAACAAAGAUUGCUCUGCUUUGAAUAUCUGCCUAAAGGAAGUCUUGAUGGUCAUAUAACUGAUUUAUUUGGAGAAAUUGAAUGGAGAAAGCGCUACAAUAUAAUAAAGGGGGUAUGUGAGGGGUUAAAUUAUCUUCACCAAAAAAAUAUUAUGCACUUAGACUUGAAACCCGGAAAUAUAUUGUUGGAUGAGGAUAUGAUGCCGAAAAUUACUGACUUCGGACUAUCAAGGUGUUUUGAGGAAGACCAAACACGGGUCAUUACUAAAAAUGUGGCUGGAACUAUGGGAUAUUUGGCACCAGAAUGCUAUUGCGGUGAAAAAAUUGCAAUCACACACAAGUUUGACUUGUAUAGUCUUGGUGUUAUAAUUAUAGAGAUAUUGACUGGAAAGAAGGGAUAUCAGAUUGCUAUUGAGAAUGUACUUGAAAUUUGGAGUAAUAUGAUGUUGGAUGCACUGCAGUGGGAACAAUUACGAGUAUGUGCUAGGAUUGGGAUAGAGUGCACAGAUCUCGAUCCAGGGAAGAGACCAGCUAGUAUGAAGCACAUAGUUGAUGCGCUCGCGCAAACAGAAUGCAGUACGCAUUUAAGCCCUGCAGGUGGGGAAAGUGAGCUUCUUCUCCUUCAACAGUUCACAUUGUGCUUCCCCUUUGAGCCCAACAAGGUUAUCACAUGCCCCCUGCAACUAACAAACAACACAGAUAAACAUGUUGCAUUUAGGCUUACGGACAAGAGCAUGGAGUCCUCCUUCAUAAGGCUGCCGUUGUAUGGCAUUGUCCCACCUAACACCCCUUUCACUCUCAUCAUUACAACCCAAGAGAAAGAAGAGCUACCACAAAAGUAUAUCAUAGAUGUGAUCCUCCACAAUGCUACAUUGAUAUUGGAGGAUGAUGAGUAUAUAAACACUUUCCAAAGCCAGCCAGACAAUUUUUUCCGUGAGAUGGGGAAUGCAGUGCAGGAGGUGAAGCUAAAAGCACUUUAUACUCUGCCACGACACAUCACACCAUCGUUAUCUAAGCUAAUCUCUCCCACAAUCAAGAUAAUCUUACAAAUGAAAAGUCACAACAAAUAUGACGAACACAUGUAUGCCUUGGACACGAACCAGGCCAGACAAUGGAUAAUAAUCGGAGAUAGCAAUGGAUAUGUUGGCUUUUGGGACUAUCAUGCACAGAGAAAAAUAGAUUCGCUUAAAGUCUCAGCAACACACGCAAUUACGUGUGUUAAAUUUAUUGAAAGAGAGCACUGGAUUGUUGCUGGGACAGAGUAUGGUGACAUCCAAGUGUACGACUAUGAAAAAAAGAAGAUGAUCACAAGUUUCAGAGUUGGUGGCGGUGGACCAGGAGAACUCCUGUCAAUGGCCGUUCAUCCAAACAAGCCGUAUUUGCUGUCUGCGGGUUGGCAGCUGAAACUUUGGGACUGGGACAAAGAUUGGGAGUGUGUACACACAUUUGGAGAUAACUUCCAUUCAGCAUACCAAGUUGCAGUUAACCCAAAUAACACCAUUGCUACUGCUUCAGUAGAUUUAGAGGGAGACACUGUGAAGAUUUGGAGUCUUGAUUCUCCCAAAUCCAACUAUGCUUUGUCUGGGCAUUCGGGUAGAGUGACCUGCUUGGAUUACUUCACAUGCCAUGAUCAAGAAUUUUUGGUUACAGGCUCUGAUGAUCAGACUGCCAAGAUAUGGUAUUUGCAGAAGAAGAUAUGUGUGUAUACGCUUGAAGCUUUCAUAUCUCCAGUUAUGUCUGUCCUGUACCAUACCAAUCUUCAGACUUUAAUUAUAGGCUCAGAAGAUGGUGCUAUUUAUUUGUGGAGUACCGCAAAUUGCAGUCUACUUGCUGAAAAAAGACCCCAUAGGAUAUCUAUACGCCCCCCGAGGCUUACAAGAAUCAUCAAUAUUGGUUGUGUUGGAGCUGUCUACCAUCUCGCAUGUGCUAUGGGAAGCGUUGCAAUCGCAAAAGGAAACACCGUAGCAAUUAUGGAUAUCAAUAAUGUGGAUUAUCAAGAGCAAUCAACAUAUUGCAAUAAGCAGCCGUUAGGUGCCGAUACGAGACAACAUGCUGAAGACAGAGCGUCUAAGGAAGUUUCAGGGUCCAUCAACAUGCUACCUAUACUUGACAUCCACCCGCUGGAACUCUGUUUCCCCUAUCAUCCGAAUGAGCCCAUCUCAUGCUCACUGGAACUAAGAAACAACACCGAUGAAAAUGUGGCAUUUAGACUUGUAGACAAGAGCGGAAAGUCUCCAUGGUGCUUCACAAAGCUACCAUUGUACGGUAUUGUGCCUCGCAGAUCCACAUGCAAUUUGAUUGUGACAACGAAAGAGGAGAUGAAGCUAAAGGAAAAGAAAGACUUCAAUCUCGUUAUUCAGAGCAGUUUACUGAGAGAUAAGUACACCAUGGUAUUCCAAAACCAUUCUGAGUGUGAUCUUUUCUUCGAGGAAGCCAAAGAGUUUGGGAAUAUGGUACAUGAGGUAAUACUGAAAGCUGUUUAUCUGCGGUAUGAAGAGACCCCAUCUAAGGAGCAUAAUAUAUCGGUGAAGUAUAAUCCUGACGAUUUGCGAUCCAUAGAUGCACACCAAACAGAGCCUUGGAUUUUAACAGGUCAUAGAAGUGGAUAUGCCCGUCUAUGGAACCAUGAGUACCUGAUGGAUUCGUUUAAAGUCUCGGGCGAUGAAGUAAGCAUCGUCAAGUUUAUUGCAAGAAAGAAAUGGAUUGUAGUUGUGACGGCAUAUUACCUGCAUGUGUACGACUAUGCGUGUGUAACCAAAAUAGAAAAGAUUCAGCGAGUGGGACCUACUGGUUACUCGACCGACAGUCCAAUACUAGCAGUUCAUCCAACUCUCCCAUCUGUGUUGUCAAUGUUCUAUACAAAUAUAGUGGUUUUAGACAUAGACCUGGGCUGGAAGAGGACACAAAAGAUUUCGAUUCACGAUGAUGUGAAAAGAGGAGGUAAGAAGGAGCAUGUUAAGACUGCUCUCUCAUUUAACCCAGGGGACCACAACCGGUUCGUAGUUGGGUUUAAACGUGGCGAAGUACAGGUUUGGAGACUUGAUUCUCUUCGUGACCCUGAAUAUUCUUUGCUUGGGCAUUAUGGUAAUGUGACCUGCCUUGAUUUUAUCAGACGUGGAGAUCAACACUAUUUGGUCAGUGGCUCUACGGAUUGCACUGCCAAGAUCUGGGACUUACAGAAAAGGGAGUGCAUUUGUACGCUGCCAGCUAUGUCUCCAGUUCUUUGUGUCUUUGCCCAUCCGAACCUUCCACUUCUAAUUACAGGAACAAAUCAUGGUAUCAUUCAUGUGUGGAGCACCACUGAUUUCAGGCUCAUGAGAACCAUUAACUUAGGCGGUGGUGGACAUGUUGUCGGUCUCGCAUGUUUGAUGGGCUCACAGAGGAUUGUGAUUGGGCAAGAGAAGGCAAUAUCUAUCAUGGAUAUAUGUGACGAUGAUGGGUUGCGACCCAUGCUGGUGACUCCCCGGAGGCAGCAUGCUGAAAACGAGCUUACUCAAGCUAAAGCAGAGCACCGCGAAACGGAGGAGCAUGGCCAAACAAAGGAGAUGCGACUCGCGUGCCGUGCCUGGGUGCUAGCGCGGCGAGUUGAAGGGGGGCAUUGA
rnacentral:rRNA from 1 species